CGAAAGCCUGACGGAGCAACGCCGCGUGGGGGAAGAAGGUUCUUGGAUUGUAAACCCCUUUUCUCAGGGAAGAAGUUCUGACGGUACCUGAGGAAUCAGCCUCGGCUAACUCCGUGCCAGCAGCCGCGGUAAUACGGAGGAGGCAAGCGUUAUCCGGAAUUAUUGGGCGUAAAGCGUCCGCAGGUGGCGAUUCAAGUCUGCUGUCAAAGCACGGGGCUUAACUCCGUUAAGGCAGUGGAAACUGGUGCGCUAGAGGGCGACAGGGGUAGAGGGAAUUCCCAGUGUAGCGGUGAAAUGCGUAGAGAUUGGGAAGAACACCGGUGGCGAAAGCGCUCUACUGGGUCGCACCUGACCCUCAGGGACGAAAGCUAAGGUAGCG
rnacentral:rRNA from 1 species